rnacentral:rRNA from 1 species
AUUGAACGCUGGCGGCAUGCUUUACACAUGCAAGUCGAACGGUAACAGGCCGCAAGGUGCUGACGAGUGGCGAACGGGUGAGUAAUGCAUCGGAACGUGCCCAGUCGUGGGGGAUAACGCAGCGAAAGCUGCGCUAAUACCGCAUACGAUCUAUGGAUGAAAGCGGGGGACCGUAAGGCCUCGCGCGAUUGGAGCGGCCGAUGUCAGAUUAGGUAGUUGGUGGGGUAAAGGCUCACCAAGCCAACGAUCUGUAGCUGGUCUGAGAGGACGACCAGCCACACUGGGACUGAGACACGGCCCAGACUCCUACGGGAGGCAGCAGUGGGGAAUUUUGGACAAUGGGCGCAAGCCUGAUCCAGCAAUGCCGCGUGCAGGAAGAAGGCCUCGGUU